rnacentral:rRNA from 2 species
GAGUGAGUGGCGAACUGGUGAGUAACACGUGGGAAACCUGCCCAGAAGCGGGGGAUAACACCUGGAAACAGAUGCUAAUACCGCAUAACAACUUGGACCGCAUGGUCCGAGUUUGAAAGAUGGCUUCGGCUAUCACUUUUGGAUGGUCCCGCGGCGUAUUAGCUAGAUGGUGGGGUAACGGCUCACCAUGGCAAUGAUACGUAGCCGACCUGAGAGGGUAAUCGGCCACAUUGGGACUGAGACACGGCCCAAACUCCUACGGGAGGCAGCAGUAGGGAAUCUUCCACAAUGGACGAAAGUCUGAUGGAGCAACGCCGCGUGAGUGAAGAAGGGUUUCGGCUCGUAAAACUCUGUUGUUAAAGAAGAACAUAUCUGAGAGUAACUGUUCAGGUAUUGACGGUAUUUAACCAGAAAGCCACGGCUAACUACGUGCCAGCAGCCGCGGUAAUACGUAGGUGGCAAGCGUUGUCCGGAUUUAUUGGGCGUAAAGCGAGCGCAGGCGGUUUUUUAAGUCUGAUGUGAAAGCCUUCGGCUCAACCGAAGAAGUGCAUCGGAAACUGGGAAACUUGAGUGCAGAAGAGGACAGUGGAACUCCAUGUGUAGCGGUGAAAUGCGUAGAUAUAUGGAAGAACACCAGUGGCGAAAGCGGCUGUCUGGUCUGUAACUGACGCUGAGGCUCGAAAGUAUGGGUAGCAACAGGAUUAGAUACCCUGGUAGUCCAUACCGUAACGAUGAUGCUAAGUGUUGGAGGGUUUCCGCCCUUCAGUGCUGCAGCUACGCAUUA